GGAGUUAUUGUUUGUGUGUAGGGAUGUGUGGAUAAAAGGGAGCUGAUUUCUAGAGGUGAGAUGGCCCUGUGGUUAACGGUUGGAGGCUGCUGUUGACAAGGCCUGUUGCUGUGGCAGUUUUGCUCCGGAAGUGGCCAUUUUCUGGGCAGGGCUCCACCAGAGCACCAUCUGUCUGUGCCUUUUACUUCCUGUCAAGAGGCAGCAGGCUUCGUGAGCUGGGGAAGUGCCAGAAGCAGCCUUCGAAUUAGACAGACCUGGACCCAAACCCUUUCUCUUCCCCCCACCCAUUUUGGCAUCUUGGCACGAGACUGUCCCCAUUUCUGGAAAGGGUGUUCACAAGAACAGUCUGGCUGGGUUGUUGGGAUGACCGAGUGUGAUCAUGCGUCUCUAUGGCUGGCCAUGGUGUUUAUUCGAUGGCAGGUAUUACCAGGAUGGAGCGAGUCCCAGUAGGAAGGGCCUUUAGGAUGUCAUCUGGUUCCACCCAACAGGGAUGGGAACUGUAAUUCCCCACUCUCCCUGUGGAGAAUCAGGGCGGGCUCCGGAUGGAUGGCCAAAGGCUGCACAGAGGCGCUCCUGUGAAGAGGAAGCCUCAGGAGGGAGUGAGAGCAGAAGGGAGCCCACCUGUGGUUGUCUCAGCAACAGCAGAAGAACCUGGGCCGCUGGGAGUGGAGUUGGAGAGAAACAGGUUGAUUUGGAAGUUCUUCUGCAGGUAGAACGGAAAGGCGAAUUCUGCAAGAUGCUCUGGGGUCCACUGAGCUCAGCUGCUGAGGCUCAGCUCUUUCUGUGGCUUCUUCUUGAGCAGCCUGUUGACCAAGAUGUGGCCCAUGCCACUCCCUAUAUUCGGAGUCCAUUUUCUGAUGCCCUCUCUCAGCUCUUCGCCUGCACUCAUCUGUGACUGCCUGGUACUGCUAGGAAGCCUCUGUUUGUGUCUCAUCUCUCCAGGUGGACUGGAGCUCCUGGGGGUCCUUUCCUUUGUGGGGGUUCUCAAUAUCAGAAUGGAGUCGCUUAUGUCAAACCCUAACAAAAUGGAGGUGGAGGUCACGAAUUGGAGCCUAUAUGCGUGCCUGUAACAGGACUUGUCACAAGGAAUCCCUGCACAUAUGUGUAUGAUGGGGACUAUGCCAGGAACUCCUCACAUAUGGAGGAUUCGAGAUAGACUGGGAGCUCCAUGAGGUCCGAGACAACCUGAAGACGCCCAGCUCAGCAGAGACUGGCUACGGCAAUCACUCAGUAACUAUUUGUUGAAUUGGACAUAAUAGAAGAGCUGAAGAAUUUUAAACAAGUCACCAUCAGUGCAGUGGAUUCCUCAAAGCAAACCUGGAAAUCUCGGCAUGAGUUGGAUUUAAGGCAGUACAUUUUCAGCUCCUGAAAAUUUGAACAGUUUCUCAAGAGAACAACUUGAAACAGAAAGGCAAGGAUGUAGAUGUGGUUGUAGAAGAUGAUGUCUGCGGCCACCAAACUGUCCACUGUGAAGACAAACCAUGCAUGUUUAGUAGGCAGUGGCUCCUCUUCCCUGUGGGGAGUCCCACUGCUUCCCUGGCCUGGGUGUUCUCUGCCGGUAGAUGUUAUUGACAAAAUAAGCAAAGUCCUCUGAUUCUGAGAAUUAGAGUUAAUGAUAGCUCUAGAUUGCCUCUGCCAUGCUAUUUAAAGUCCUGCUUUAUUGUCUGACAUGAGUUCGGCAUCUAUGAGGACUUGUCCAGUGCAAAGUACAAUCUCCACUGAAAGAUAUCACCAGCACAUCUUGUCACUGUGCUGUAGCAAGCUGGGCAGUACAAUGAUGUUGGCAGGAUCCUGUUUAGGUGGAGGAUGGCCACCUGGGCAUCAAGAAUCUUCUACCCUGAUUCCACAUUGACUCCCCAAAGUGGGCUUCAGACAGCUCUUUACUUACGUCUUCUGAUUAAAGCAGCAGACAGGGUCCCAGCUAGAGAAAAGUUCUGGGAGCAGGAGAGGUGUUGGUGGCUUUAAAACCAGGGGUGAAGAUUGAAUUAGGAGGUUAGGCAGGAGUAGGAUCAAAGACUUAGAAAAUGCUUGUUUCCUCCUAUUAUUCUUAUGAGAGCUGAUACGGGGCUUUCAGUUUUGGGGGAGAGCCUUGGAAGAGAAUGAGGGAAUUUAAUCAACUAGCGGGACCUUUCCAACUUACAUUUCCCAGUGUUUGUUGGAUGAUACGUUUGCCUAAUAAGUUAAAGCUUCCAAAAAUAGAAAGGAAAGCUUGGUGACACUAAGCUCUGGCAUGCUGUCAUCUUCUGGCUAGGGGUCUUGUGCUUCUGUUUUUCUAUUUCUGACCAAAGACAUAAAAUGUGUUGUGACCUCUCAGGUAAUGCUGUGGUAUCAUGUCCAAGCAGUAACUAACCAGAGUGGAGUUUUUACAGGUAAAAAAGUAUUGAAUAGCUCAGCAACAGGGAGGACUUAAUGAUAAAUUGCUUUUUCAGAAAAUGACAAGGGGACAGACACUUGCGGUUCUUCCAUUGAGAGCCUUAAGGAAGUUAAGCGAAGCCUCUGCUCACCCCUUCAAGUAACGAUGACCCAUCAGAUCGUGGUCAUAACCAGUAGCAUCUGAGGCACCCCUAAGCUCUCUGGGCCCCAGAUUCCUUGUUAAGUUAAAUGAGGUGACUUCCCAGUUUACCAUUCUAGGGGUUCCUGAGGAGUUAAAAAUGAAGGAGAAAAUGCAACAUGUACCAAGUGAGCAAGAGCUCAAGGCUUAUCUCUGGCACGAAAGUGACCGCUGUCCGUUAGAGAUGUGAUUGCCCUAGAUUUCCUUUAGGAAAUGCAAACAUUGAACUCUGGCCUUCAGGACCCAAGUCCCGGCUUGCAUCUAUUCUAUACACUUUCUGUUAUUUGUUAGGGCUCACAAGGAACAGUUAUUUAUCUUUUAUUUUCUAUUUUUUUUUUAGAGAUGGAGUCUCACUCUGUCUCCCAGGCUGGAGUGCAGUGGUGCCAUCUCAGCUCACUGCAACCUCCACCUCCCGGGUUCAAGCAAUUCUCCUGUCUCAGCCUCCUGAGUAGCUGGGACUACAGGCGUGUGCCAUCAUGCCCGGCUAAUUUUUAGUAUUUUUAGUAGAGGCAGGGUUUCACCAUAUUGGCCAGGCUGGUCUUGAACUCCUGAUCUCAAGUGAUCUACCCUCCUUGGCCUCCCAAACUGCUGGAAUUACAGAUGUGAGCGACCACACCUGGCCCAUUUGUUUUCUUUCAAACCCUUCUGUAAGACCAGUGCUUUAGGUGAACACGUGGACAGAACAAGAUCAUCACUAUUUUGCAAUAUGAAGACCAACUGCGCUGUGACCAGAAAAACAGAGGCAAAAUGUUGAGCUUAAUGAUACCUUUUUAUAAUUUGUAUUUGGUGUUUCUCAAUUUUCCAUUGGAUAGUUUGAGAGAUAAGUACAAGUCAAUGACAUGUUCUCUUUCGUACCCUAUUGUCUAAUCCUGCUAACACACACACACACACACACACACACACUGAUUACCUAAUUUAUCUGUUCCCCGAUUAUUACACUCUCAAUUGCUGCAGAGUCUCAGAAGCAGCAUGGUGUAACAGAAAGAAUAUGAGGCUUAGAAUCCAAAAGCCAGAGUGUGAAUUCCAGCUCCACUGACUUGCUGCGUGACUUGAAGCAAGUCAUUACGUGUCUCUGUUUACUCAUUUUAUGACUUUCCUAUUGCCUCUGUAAUAUAGCACCACAAACGUGUGGACUUAAAACAACAUGCAUUUAUUCUCUUAGCGUUCUGGAGGUCAGGAGUCUGACAUCAAUUUCGUUGGGCUAAAAUCAAGAUGUUGGUAGGACCAAGAUCCCCGUGGAGGCUCUGGGAGAACCCAUUUCCUUGCCUUUGCCAGCUUCUAAUGCUGCAUUCCUUGCAUUCCUUGAUUGUUGACCUCUUCCCCCAUCUUCAAAGCCAGCAGAACAGCACCUUGUUUCAUUGCCUUCUUUACUGUCAAAUCUCCCUCUGCCUUCUUCUUAUAAGAACACUUGUGGUUGCAUUUAGAAGCUGUGAUAAUCCAGAAUAAUAUCUUUAUCUCAAGAUCUUUGACUUGGUCUCUUCUGCAAAGUCUCUUUUGCCACAGAGGGAAAUAUUCACAGGUCCCAGGGGUCAGGCUGUGUACGUCUUUGGGGGACUUUAUUCUGCCUACCACACUCAUCUUUUUUUUUUUUUUUUUUGGAUGGAGUCUUGCUCUGUCACCCAGGCUGGAGUGCAGUGGCAUGAUCUCGGCUCACUGCAACUUCUGCCUCCCCAGUUCAAGCAAUUCUCCUGCCUCAACCUCCCAAGUAGCUGGAAUUACAGGCGCCUGCCACCACGCCCGGCUACUUUUUGUACUUUUAGUAGAGAUGGGGUUUCACUAUGUUGGCCUGGCUGGUCUUGAACUCCUGACCUCAGGUGAUUCCCCCACCUUGGCCUCCCAAAGUGCUGAGAUUACAGACGUGAGCCACCAUGCCCGGCCCCACACUCAUCUAUUAAGUAGAGCUAGGAAUUCCUAUCCUAAGGGACACAAAAAUGAAAAAAGAUAAAAUUUGUGAAGAGGCACAUAAUGAAAGCCCAUACAUGUCACUGAGUUCAGAGGAGGGUGGGUCUGACCUCCCAUUGGCUGGUCUCUGCCUGAUGGACAUCGUGAAGAAGAGAGCCAGGACUAGUGUGGCUGGGGGAUGUUCAGGGGCCAGAGUGGCUUCAGGUGCCAGCAGCCCUGGCCGAAGGAUGACUCCAGGAGCAAGGCUCAGAGCCGAGUGGAAGAAGCUUCAUAAACGCAACUGAGCCAAGCAUGAUGGGAUGUGCCUGUGGUUCCAGCUACUCAGGAGGCAGGUGGGAGGAUGGCUUGAGUCAGAAGUUCGAGGCUGCAGUGAGCUAUGAUCACACUACUGUACUCCAGCCUGGGUGACAGAAUGACACCCUGUCUCUAAAAAGAAAAGGCACCUGGAUGCUCAUGACCGAGAUGGGGUGGGGUGGGUGGGGUGGGACAGCCGCACUUUAUAACUUUGCUUUCAGCAUGAUGUGGAUUAGUGUCUCCCAUGUGGGAAAAUUAUGUUUACCACUUAGAGACCUGAUAGUGCUUGCUUACCCCAUAACGCUGGACGGUGGCAGGCUUAACUCCCCCAUCAAGGGCCUUAAUGUAUUUGGGGCCCUAGUCCUAGCAACAGCAGCAAAUCUCCUUUUUCUUUUCCUCGAGCUGGUUGUUCACCAGGCAGUUGGGAUGUUAAUGGGAAGAGAAGACACACACAAGUCCCUUGUUUUCAAUAAGGCAGUCUGGUCACGUCCUUAGCAGGUUAUUAAUCUUUUUCAAACCCCUCCUCUCCACCAAGUUUUAUGAUCCUGGGAAGGAGAUUCCUACCUAGCAUCCUUAGAGUUAUCGGGGGUUAGGAUCGGUGCAUGCAGUCACUUCCGUGGAAUCAUCAGUAGCCCUCCAGCCUCUGGGGAGAGCUGCCAGUGGUCAGAGAUGUUGGGAAUUACGAGGGAGGAGCUAGGGAGAAGGAACUCACAGUCCCUCAGUCUCUGAAGGUGGCUCCUGGCAGGAGAGGGGGCCAGUCCUAGAUAAGAGCUCUCCCAGGGAAUUCCAAGGGUCCUCCCAAGGUCCAGCCACAAGAUGAGGAAUUACUGUUGGGCUCUUCCUCAGAUGUGCCUGUGAAUUCAUAUCACAGAUGCUUGAUGCAUUUGACAAUUGUUUAAUUGCUUGAGCCCAACUGAUACUCUUUCAGUCACUUUAAGGGAGUGAUUUCAAGUAUGAUCAUUGCCUCAAAUCUGUAUGGCUUUCCUUGCCUUUCAGGUGCUUUAAGAGGGCUUAUGUUCUUUGACUCCCCUAGUAACUCAAAAGGGUGGCUAAGAUGCAACUCUGGAGGUUUCCAAGCUCUCUGCAAAGCCUGCCUUCAGUAGUCUGUGCACCACAAGAAGCAUAACUUUAUUAUCCUCUAGCUGAAUUUACCUCCUGCUUCGAGCCCCUGUUUUCCCAUGUCAUUUUAGGGGUCCAAUGUUUUUCCUGGAGGCAUAUACACACACACACACACACACACACACACACACACACACACACACACACACACAUAUAUACACACACACAUUCCAGGGGCCUCUGAGGUGCCAAGACAUGUGUGGGGUCCAUCUGGUUCACACUGAUGUCCAUGAUCAUUGAGUUCAUUUUUUAUAUCAACUAUGUGACACUUCCUAUAGUUUCCAGUUCCUGGUUAGAAUUUGCAAAGUUGCCGACUAUUUCUUUGAAUAGAGUAGCUAGAUCAUGGGUCUACACCAGUCAUCAAGCAGCGAUUUCCCUGUUGGAAGCUCCAAGCAAAUUGUCAGCUCCAGCAUUCCACACAGCUGUGGGUGCCACACUCCUUUUCCUUUUAAAAGAUGAUGAUCUGCUAGUGGUGAAUGCUCUUGGAGUUUUAUUUGUAGGUUUUUCUUGUUGUCGCAAAUGUCUAUAUUUCAUCUUCCCUCUUGAGGGAUAUUUUCCAUGGGUAGAGGAUCUAGGCUUUUCUUUUGGAUUCCAUUGUGGCUUUAAAAAAAAGUCAGUUGACUGUUUAUUUAUGGCUUCUCUAAAGGUGAUCUCUUUCUUCCUAAGGCUGCUUUAAAAGUUUCCGUUCCCUCCCUCCCUUCCUCCCACCCCAUCCCCCUUCUUCCUUUCCUUCCUCCCUCCCUUCCUCCCUUCUCUUCCUCCCUUUCUCCCUUGUCUUCCUCCUUUUCUCCCAUCCUCCCUUCCUCCCUCUUUCCUUCUUUUUUCCCUUCCUCCCGCCCUCCUUCCUUCUUCCAUCAUUAUAUAUUAAAAUAUUUUCUUUCUUUCUUUUUUUUUUUUGAGAUGGAGUUUCGCUCUUGUUGCCCAGGCUGGAGUGCAACGGUGUGAUCUUGGCUUACUGCAACCUCCACCUCCCUGGUUCAAGCGAUUCACCUGCCUCAGCCUCCCUAGUAGCUGGGAUUACAGGUGCCCGCCACCACACCCAGCUAAUUUUUGUAAUUGUAGUAGAGAUGGGGUUUCACCAUGUGGGCCAGGCUGGUCUUGAACUCCUGAACUCAGGUAAUCCACCCGCCUUGUCCUCCCAAAGUGCUGGAAUUACAGGCAUGAGCCACCACUCCCAGCCUAUUAAAAUAUUUUCUUCUGGGCCUUCCCUCCUUUUACUUCUUUUGAUACCGCCAUCAAAUGCAUGUUAGGUUGACUCACUGUGUACUCUAUUACCCUCUCAUCUGGUUUUUAAUCUUUCUGUCUCCUUAUACUGUAAUCUCAGUGUUUCUUCUGCUUUAAUUUUGGUAUAUGAAUUAUUCAGCUGUGUUCAAAGUGUGGUUAAAGCGACUUAUAUGCUCUUUAAUUUUUAGUUAUUGUACUUUUCACCUCUAGAAGUUCUUCUGUGACACUUCUUAUAGUUUCCAGUUCCUGGUUAGAAUUUGCAAACUUGUUGACUAUUUCUUUGAAAAGAGUAGCUAGAAUUGUUUUAGUCUGUGUAUAGUGAGUUGAAUAUCUGAAACCUCUGUGAGUCUGUUUCUUUUGUCUGCUAGCCCUACUCAUGGCGUCAUGUUUUCCUGGAUGUUUAGUUGGUUGUCUUUGAAUAUGUCCAACUCCAGUUAUUUCUGGGAAUACCCAAAGGCACACCUGUUCACUAUCACCCAGUGAACUGCCAUGUGUUUGUCUCCUGUCAUGGUAACAUUUGCAUUCAGGGAGAGGCCUCUGCUCUCUGCAGAACAGUGUGAAAUCACCUCAUUUUUGCCUUCAAUGAAGGUUGUCUCUUGCUGGUCACCACCACUUCCUCAAAUGACUAAUGCCACUCUUGCUCACAGUGCUAAGGCGCUAAGGAGUUUUCAGAGGGCUAGAGUGAUUCUGCAUCCUCUGGGGUUCUCAGGAAACGAGGCCACAGGGCCAUCUGUGCAUGAGUGACAGUGGGGUGGGGUGGAUGAGCAGUGGCAGUGGUGGGCACCUAUGCUGCUGGCGCCACAGCUUUUUAUAUCUUGGUGAAAACAACGCCUUGCGUUUUCACUUGUAGAUUCUCCGGCUACAUUCCACAAGAACAAAUUCUGGUCACAGAGGCCAGAGUAGACUAUCAGUGUAAUGGCCCUUCCCCUUUGAUGAUAGCAGCUUUUUUCGGGGGAGCAGGGGUGGCCAAACUUCCUAGCCUUAUUUUAUCUUCCUUUCUAGUUCUCCCCAGAGGCUGCUGGGUCCACCUCUCCCUCUGCCAGACAGACAGGCUCAGACAUGCAAGAACGGAAGGGGGUGUGGGGGUUGGUGGGAGGAUUAAGUUGGGGAAAGCCAGUCUUGUCUUUGUAGAUUACCAGAACUGACACACGUACACACACGUACACUCACUCACUCACUCACUCAUCUAUUCAUCUAUUUUUGGCCUAAGUGCCUUUGGACACUUCUUCGGAAAAGCACAUGAACUCUUCGGAGUCUCCUGUUCCACUUGGUAAAUUUCCUAUAGCCACGCACUGAAAGUCCCUGCUGCCCUCCUUCCUCUGAGCUUGUGGGGCCCACAGAUCCCCUGCUCCACUUCCUGCUUCAUUUCAGCUGAUGGUGAGUCCAGGGCAGGCUUGUAGGAAGGGCGGGCUAGGCGUGGGGAACUGCAGCACCCACCCCACCCCCCGCCCCAGUGCUUGUUGCCCCAGCCUCUGUCUCCCUCGCUGUGCCCUUCCCUUAAGCCCCACUCUUGGCCUCCCCAAAGACAGAGUUUGUUCUGUUUUUAUUGAUAGGAUGACACUCCCUCGUUCUAAUACCAUCUGAAUGCCUGAGCAAUUACAUCUUACAACCUCAUGAAAAACACAGCAGCUUGUCACGAUGAAUGAUGUUACCGUGAAUAAUGCAGUUUUGAGUUCAAACUCCUUCUUAUUCCAAGAAUGAGUAAAUAUCCCUAUUCCCUCCCCUCCCCAUUGCAUUUGGGUUUGACAUGACAUGAAUCAUUGUGGUUUUACUCCUGGGUAGAAUUGUUUUUCUGUAUUGCAUUGCCAAUUGAUGGAAGGACAAAAAAAGGAAACUUACCAAUGAGCAGUUUCAGAUGAACUUAAAUUCUCAGAAAUCUUGAAGAAUGAAUGAACUAUAACUUUCUGAAGUUGCAAAAAUGUUCAAGUCGGAAGUGACCCAUGGGAAGCAACCUGGUCCUUAAUUAGGACUGGAAAGAAAACGGAGGCCCAGCGAGGGAACAGUGGCUUCCCCAAGGUCACACUGCAAGUGAGUGGUGGCACUAGUCACCCAGGAGUCCUCCUGACUCCAUGGUAUCCUGACCCCAGACCAGCAGCCUUAUUUGUGGUUAAAGAACGUGGAAAAACAGCUUAUGUUUGAAUUUUAAAAUCAUGCCAGUACUAAAGAUCUGCAUUCCAUGAAUAUUGAGCUUUGCUGUGUGCGGGUUGCUACGAAUUUUGUAACUAUUUUCUCUAAGAGCUCUCAGUAUUUUACAUAUACAAUUCCAUUCUUUAUUGUCCAGGGAAAAAGUUGCAUUUACUGAGCAGUAAGAGGGUGAUUUGAAGUCCCUGGGGUCCCCCACCCUUGUCUUUCUAUGUGAGAUUGUAUUGCAGGGCUCACAUUUAUUCUCUCAGCAGCUCAUUGCACAGACAGUGUAUUUAUUGAGCACCUACUGUGUGCCAGGAGCUAUGUGGUAAGCUAAGCAGACAAAAACUCCUGCUCUCACAAGAAGAAAGAAUAAACAAGCAGACAAUUGCACCUAUAAUGUCAGCCUGGUGUGAUGGCUCACUCCUGGAAUCCUAGCACUUUGGGAGGUGACGAUGGGAGGAUUGCUUUAACUCGGGAGUUCAAGAUAAGCCUGGGCAACCAAGACCCUGUCUCUACAAAAAAAUCAAAAAAUUAGCUGGGGGUGAUGGCAUGAGUCUCUGGUCCCUCGGGACCAGAGGCCUCGGGAGGCUGAGGCGGGUUUAUCACUUGAGCCUGGGAGGUUGAGGCUGCAGUGAGCUGUGAUCACACCACUGCACUCCAGCCUGGGCCACAGAGCGAGACCCUGUCUCUAAAUAAACAAACAACCUAAUGUCAAGUUAGGAAGUGUGGCAAAAAGGAACAAAGUCAGGGUGACUGCCAUUCUAGAAAGGGUGGUGAGGGAAGGUCUCCUUGAGCAGAUCCUGUGGGAGUGGAAGGGUAAGUCACGAGACUCUCUGGAGGAAGAAGAUUCCAGGUGGAAAUGCCUUAGUGGGUGUUAAACGCUUUAACGGGUGUUAGCCAGAAAGCCAGAAUGGCUGGAGCUGAGGGAGUAGAGGAGGCGGCAUAGAAAAUGAGGUCAGAGAUGGAGGCAGGGCCGGAUCACAGAGGGGCACAGAGAACGAGGAGGGAAUUGGAUUUUUGGAAAAGAUUGUGGCAAAAUACAAAAUAUAAAAUACAAAAAUAAAAUAUAAACCAUAAAAUGUACUACCUUUACCAUUUUAAGUAUGCAGUUCAGUAGUGUUAAAUACAUUUACAUCAUUGUUCAACCCGUCUCCAGAACUCUCUGCAUCUUGCAAAAUUAAAACUCUAUGCCAUUUCAACAGUUCGCAUUUCCUCUUCCCUCUCGUUCAUGGCAACCGCCAUUUUUCUUUCUGUCUCUGUAAAUGUUAGUACUUGGGGUAUCUCAUCUAAGUGGAAUCACACAGUGUGUGUCCUUUUGUGACAGACUUAUUUCACUUUGCAUAAUGUCCUUAAUAUUCAUCCAUGUUGUAGCAUGUGUCAGAUUUUCCUUCCUUCUUAACAUUGUGUAAUAUUCCAUUGUACGCAUAGACUACAUUUAGCUUAUCUGUUCACCUGUGGAUGGACACUUGGGUUGCUAUAGUGAAUAAUAUUGCUGUAAAUAUGGGUAUACGAUUAUCUCUUUGUGACCCUGCUUUUAAUUGUUUUGGAUAUAUACCCAGAAAUGGAAUUACUGAAUCAUGUGGAGAUUCUGUUUUUGAUUUAUUUAUUUAUUUUUAAUUUUUGAGAUGGAGUCUCGUUCUGUCACCCAGGCUGGAGUGCAGUGACACGAUCUCUGCUCACUGCAACCUCUGCCUCCUUGCACCAUUAAUUCUGAAAAUGCAGGCCUGGAUCCAACCGCCUUUGGGGACGGGUACCUGCCCACAGGAAGAGGUUGAGGAGACAAUAAUGUCACGAGAAUCAUCAUCUUUGACUGGGAAAUGGUGUGCAGAGUUUCUGGUGCCUUCUGAAGUGAUUGUCGCAUCUCAGCCUCCCUAGUAGCUGGGAUUACAGGCAUUUGCCACCAAGCCCGGCUAAUUUUUGUAUUUUUAGUAGAGACGGGGUUUCAUCAUGUUGGCCAGGCUGGUCUCAAACUCCUGACCUCAGGUGAUCCACCUGCCUCAGCCUCCCAAAGUGCUGGGAUUAUAGGUGUGAGCCAUGCACCUGGCCUGAUUGGUUAUUUAAAUUCUGAGAUGGGGUAUACUAAUGUUUGAAAACCACAGGGAUGGGAUAGGUAUAGGUGGGGAGGGAGAGCAAAAGUGGUAUUUAGAAUAUGUUACGUUUGAAAAACCUAAUACACAUUCUACAUCCAAGUGGACAUAGAUGGAGUUAUUUGA
rnacentral:lncRNA from 1 species